GAAAAGGUUUUGCUCCCCAAGUAAUGCAUGCUUCAAAAGAGAGGUUUUCUUGGAAAACUUUCUCAGUACAGACAGUAGACAGUAGGGUCGAUUUGAAGUGAACAGCUGGCAUGGUCUACUCUUUCACAUACCUCCACUAAUCUCACAUUUGUCCAGGCAGCAGCUCCUUUCAUCCUAGGCUUUGCAUCGAUGAUAGAGCUUUAUAAAAUCCCUUCUCUGCCAUGGAACAGUCUAAGACUGCAGCAGACUGUGACUAGAAAAGGGAAUGUAUGCAGUCUGCACAAGGAGACAGAAGGGGAGGGACAGCUACGCUUAGCCGUGACAAAUUAUCUGCUCCCACAAUCUCUAGCCAUAAGAGGUUGAAAGACUGUUUAUCACAACCACAGCUACAUUUUCCAUUAUCCCAAAAUAAGAUUCCUUCAGAAUUCCUUAUAUGGACUCAAAGAGACUCCAGAUGUAGUAGCUGAGGCAAUCAAAACCUCCUGUGUCUUGGAGAAUACUCAAAAAUGGCCCAGAACUUUUUUGUCCUUGUUGUUGCAUUUUGCAUAAUUUUCUGCUCUUUAGAUAGAGUAAAUACUCUGCAGUUUCUACUAGGGGAGCUAUGUGUAUUAUAUAAUCAAAAUGUAGUUUAGGUUCAUUUACAACAUAAGUGAAAUUACAAGUUUAUGUCUUUGAUAUUACAAGUUUUUGAGUCCUUUUUCAAUGCAGACAUAAAAAUUUCUUGUAGACCAAUACAGGCAAUGAAAAGACAAAAUGAUAAAAUAAUAUGCUGCAACUGUAACCAGUCUGGGAUAUCAGAAUAUUCUCUCUCUCUCUCUCUGUUUUAAACACACACACACACACACAAAUAGAUUCAUUUAAUACAUUUAACUUUAUAUUUUUAUGGGUGACUUAAAGGUGGCAAGAAGAUGUAGACCAUGUCACUAUAAACACGAGUAUGAAUAGGACAAAUCAAUGUAAAGUUUUCUGUUUUGUUUCACAUUCUUGACUUGUGGUACUUUUGAUUAUGUAGCGUUGCUUGCUUGAUGUUGGUUGUAAUAUAUAACCAGCCUGGGUAAACUGUGACUACUCUCGACAUGUGUUACCUGCACAGAAAAUGAGUGUGAAUGUGUCCUUAGGCCCAAGGUGCAGUGCUGCAUCUCUGGUCAGUUGGGAGUCUGAGAUGAAGCACUGUAGCACGGGAAGAGGAAUACUGCUACUGUAAACACACAUCAGCAUUUGUAAUUACUUUAUAGUAGCCAGACAAAAUGUAAAAUUAAAUUCUAUUAUAAAAUGUAGACUGCAAAAUGUAAGUAAAUAAAUUUUCAAAAAGAUUUUAAAAGGUCGCUAUGCAGUAUGGAGAGGCAGUAGAAGCUUACUAUUUAAGGAUCUAAGCUACUAAUCUGCAAAUUCAGAGUUCAAAUCCCAGCCUCGCCUGUUGUUAUUCCAUAAUUAAUUUUUAAUAAAAAAAAAAAUACAAACAUUUUAUAGCUAUUGUAUACUUAUUGGUGGAUUUUUUUUCUCUACUGCACACUUCCCUGUCCCCGGGGUCCAGUUUUCCCAGGAAUCCCUUGGGAAAUUAUAAAGGGGAUUCCUGGAAAUACUGUUCUUGGGGGUGGGGUUAGACAUCAUGCGUGUCAGUUAAGUUAAAUCAUAUAUUUUACUGACUUAAAAAAAGAGAACAAUAAGGUUAAAUGACCCAAAAUUUAAAUAUAUGUUUUCAUAUGUUCUUAUUGUACCCAACAAAGUAUUUAAUAAAACAAGUAAUUAUAAAAUGUAAUUAUUUUUUAUUUUAUAAUAAUAAUAAUAAACAUAUAGUAUUAUGUAUCUCUGAAAUUGAUGUCCAACCUGUCAUUUUGGGGAAACUGCCCCCUUUGUAAAAAUUACAAUGUAAUCAUCAAUGUCAACAUCAUGACCAUCCUUUUGUGUUUUUUCUUAGAUGGAGGUUGAAACAACUGCUGAAAGUACAUUUACACUUAUAUUUCCUAAUUUGUAACAUAUCAUGCUUGUAGUUUAAUGUUAUCAAGGUUAACAUGUCCACCCUAUCAUAGUAAAUAUUGAAAAAUAUAAAAACUUUUUAGAAAUUCCAAACAGAUUUAAUAAACAGCACACAGUCACCUUCAAAAGUUUAUCAUUUCGAUAACUGAGGGUCACCACUAGCUUUACACAUUGAUGACAUGGUGGACAUGUGCAUUUCUAUUGGUUUGAUUAUUAUUAUUAUUAUUAUUAUUAUUUUUAACAGAUAUUUAUUAAGAACAGGACAAUAUAUAUGUCUGAAAAAGCACAUUUUAUAAUCACUAGGCUAUGAAAAUGUAUUUAAACUAUUUCUAAUUUAUCUAUGACAGUGUGGACAUAUUUUGCAAAUUGCUUGUCAAUUGUUAUUAUGCAGUUAAUUUAUAAAAAAAAAAGUGCUGGAGCUUACAACAUACAUUUCUAACAGCUACAGCUGAGUUCAUAAUGUAAAUAUGAAGUUACAGUGAAUGGAACGUCUUAGUUUUUAGUCAAUGCAUAAAGACCUUUUAUAGUGAUAUUGAUUCAAAUAGUAAUCGUCUAUGCACAUUGGCAUAAUUAGUAAACCCAAGAGUAAGUAGGCAUUGAAGCCAAAAAAAAAAUGUUAUGCAGGGAGCACUAUGUUGUACAAUGCCUUGCAAAAGUAUUCAUAUCCCUUGAAGUUUUGUCACGUUAACCUGAGAGCAUUAAUCAGAGGAGCCAAGAGGCCCAUGGUAACUCUGGAGGAGCUUUAGAGAUCCACAGCUCAGGUGUCCACAGGAUAACUAUUAGUUGUGUACUCCACAAAUCUGGCCUGUUUAAUAGAAGAGUGGCCAUUGUUGAUUGAAAGUCAUAAGAAGUCCCAUCUGCAGUUCCACAUGGCUUCUCGCAAAUUGCAAACAGAAUUCUUAUGGCUUUCUUUCAACAGUAAAAAGUCAGAGGGUUAUGAUUACUUUUGCAGGGCACUGUAUAUAGCAGAAGAGCCCCCAAUCCAUAUUCCUAUGGCAAAAUAGAGAAGUGCUAAAAGUCUAAUGGCUCUUUAUAUUUGUUAAAUAAAUAAUUGGAUAUUUUGCCUAAAAUAUUUUAAAAAUCAGCGUCAGUAAAAAAAAAAUUGAAAUCAAAGGAAAAGAACAUGCAUGCAAUACUAAGUAACCCCUUACUUCUUCCACAGGAUGUAAGAGUCUAAGUUAAAGCCAGGAGCUGCUAUUCAUAAGGUGUGCAGAUGAGGAGACGUUUUGGCAGUUUGUUCGUCUGGAGCUUUUAAGUGUGUGUUAGCACAAUGUCAAAAGGGAAAGACAUAAGCAAUGCUCUUAGAGAGGCAAUUGUUGCUGCACAUCAAUCUGGAAAGAGUUAUGAAAAAAUUUGGAGUUCAACAUUCUAAAGUGAAAACAAUUAUCCACAAGUGGAAAUCAUCCAAGACGGUCUUCCCAGGACUGGACAGCACAAUCACCCCAAGGCCAGACCAUAAAAAGCUAAGAAAAAUACUAAAAAAGGGAAAGGUACAUUUCAGAUCCAGGCUACACUAAAUAUGUUAAAAGGUCAUGGCAGCACAAUUAAAACAAGUACAUUUUGUUUAGAAGGGUAGCCAGUAGAAAUCCUUUUCGUAUAAAGAAGAACAUAGAAGCAUGCCUGGAAGUUUUACACACACAAAAAAAAAAAUAAUUAAAAGAGGGCCUCAUUUUUGAACAUGAUUCUAUUCUAUUAUAUUCUAUUUACAGGUGCAGCUGCCACAAAACCUUUUUGACAGCAACUCAAGAUGAAAUAUACCAAAAAUAUAUUGCAACUGUUUAAUUUUCCCAAACUUAAUUAAGCAUUAUUUAUUUGCUACUUUCAAUAUAUUUUUCAGUUGUUAUGGUAUUUUUAAAGUAAUAUCUAAGUUCUUUAUACUGUAUAUAAGGUUUAAAACAUGGUGAGCGUCCACCACUAACAUGACUCUACCGAGAUUACCCUUGUGGGCAUCUUGUUGCUGAGAACAUCUUUAUCAGAAAGCUUAUCUGACCCAACCAUCCCCAAGAGACAAGGGCCUACAUAAGAAGUUUGUUAUUUGUAAUUAAUGAUAUAUGACAUUUAUUCUGUUUUGUUGUCACCUCCAUGAGACAACUCAUUCAUCUUCGAUACAACCUGGCACACUGAUUCUACAAUUUUGUAUUAGUGUCAUGACCCAUUCCUGCUCAUCUCAAGCCAUGUUAUUCAUUGCCACAUUGUUUUUUUUAUUAUUUUUUUCUUUUUUCACUAUUCCUGUGCCAUCUUUGUACAACAAUUAACAAUAAACCUUUAAAAUAAUUA